rnacentral:sRNA from 1 species
AGGUGCGAUCAUACCAGCACUAAUGCACCGGAUCCCAUCAGAACUCCGCAGUUAAGCGUGCUUGGGCGAGAGUAGUACUAGGAUGGGUGACCUCCUGGGAAGUCCCUCGUGUUGCACCUCUUUUUUUUCACGGGAGGUAGCAUUAACGGACUCCG